ensembl:miRNA mdo-mir-12300 mdo-mir-12300
AGCCCACUUACCUCCUCGACAUAGACACUUCAAAAAAUGUACAGGAAGAAAGUGGAUGCAU